UAUCAUAUAUGUUAUCGUUUUAGGCCGGUGUAAUCAAGACCACAUGACCAAAAAUCGUGCGAUUGUCAAAUAUUACACAAACAACAACAUGGUGGGAUACAACUCCAACUGAUACAACGACACAGACUACUGAAACGACAGGAAUAACAUCAGAAACCACGACAACAAUACCAUGGUGGUAUUCAUCUACAAAAACAACAACUUGGUGGAAUGAAACCACUAAUUUGCCAGAAACAACAACUUUCCCUUCGGUAUCUCCAUCCGACCGCACUGACUCUCCUAGUCAGAACAAAGUGAAUAUUAACGUGGAAUUUGACACGUUUUACAUUCAGAACAAUAACAAUGUCAAUUUAGUUAUCAACUAACACGUAUUUUAGUAUCAGUAAUCAUAUUCUAAUUAUGUAUUAAUGUACGUUUCAUUUCGCUCGCGAAAUAUAACAUGGAACUUCAUGUGAUAGUUUAAUGUGAAACAUGUUUUUAUUGGAUGCUGAAAUAGUUUUCAUAUUCCACUACCAAAAGAAGCAUUUCGAACACAUCACAAAAUCUUCGAACUAAAAUAAAACAUCUUUAAUAUAAUUGAAGGUGGAACAUAGUAUACAUCCAAAACAAGCACUGUUACCAAACACCAGACAUGCAACACUCUUCUCGACGCGCGUUGCACCAACAAAGUUGGCGUCUUCAGAAGAUGAAGUAGACUUAUAACUUGAAGACAGGAGAAAUAUACACAAGAAUCAACUCUCAACUACUUGAUCUUCUGACCAAGUAUUGAGUAAUUCAGGCUGAGUCUUGUAAGAUUGGAUUUACUAUAAGUACAAUUCCAUAAUAGAAGGCACUAAAUUCUUAGAAAAAAUAUUCGCAUUGA